rnacentral:rRNA from 1 species
AUUGAACGCUGGCGGCAGGCUUAACACAUGCAAGUCGAGCGGGGUGAUGGUGCUUGCACUAUCACUUAGCGGCGGACGGGUGAGUAAUGCUUAGGAAUCUGCCUAUUAGUGGGGGACAACAUCUCGAAAGGGAUGCUAAUACCGCAUACGUCCUACGGGAGAAAGCAGGGGAUCACUUGUGACCUUGCGCUAAUAGAUGAGACUAAGUGGGAUUAGCUAGUUGGUGGGGUAAAGGCCUACCAAGGCGACGAUCUGUAGCGGGUCUGAGAGGAUGAUCCGCCACACUGGGACUGAGACACGGCCCAGACUCCUACGGGAGGCAGCAGUGGGGAAUAUUGGACAAUGGGGGGAACCCUGAUCCAGCCAUGCCGCGUGUGUGAAGAAGGCCUUAUGGUUGUAAAGCACUUUAAGCGAGGAGGAGGCUCUUUUGGUUAAUACCCAAGAUGAGUGGACGUUACUCGCAGAAUAAGCACCGGCUAACUCUGUGCCAGCAGCCGCCGCAGUA